rnacentral:rRNA from 1 species
ACCUUCGGGCCUCUUGCCAUCAGAUGUGCCCAGAUGGGAUUAGCUUGUUGGUGAGGUAACGGCUCACCAAGGCGACGAUCCCUAGCUGGUCUGAGAGGAUGACCAGCCACACUGGAACUGAGACACGGUCCAGACUCCUACGGGAGGCAGCAGUGGGGAAUAUUGCACAAUGGGCGCAAGCCUGAUGCAGCCAUGCCGCGUGUAUGAAGAAGGCCUUCGGGUUGUAAAGUACUUUCAGCGGGGAGGAAGGUGUUGUGGUUAAUAACCGCAGCAAUUGACGUUACCCGCAGAAGAAGCACCGGCUAACUCCGUG